rnacentral:rRNA from 1 species
CGCGUAGGUGGGAUAGUAAGUCUGCUUUAAAAGUGCGGGGCUCAACCCCGUGAUGGGGUGGAAACUGCUAUUCUUGAGUGCAGGAGAGGAAAGCGGAAUUCCCAGUGUAGCGGUGAAAUGCGUAGAUAUUGGGAGGAACACCAGUGGCGAAGGCGGCUUUCUGGACUGUGUCUGACACUGAGGCGCGAAAGCUAGGGGAGCGAACGGGAUUAGAUACCCCGGUAGUCCUAGCCGUAAACGAUGGGUACUAGGUGUAGGGGGUAUCGACCCCCCCUGUGCCGGAGUUAACGCAAUAAGUACCCCGCCUGGGAGUACGGCCGCAAGGUUGAA